rnacentral:tRNA from 1 species
UUUUUUGUGGCUAAGUGGUAAAGCGCUUGGCUUCCAAACGGGGGUUCUAGGGUUCGAAUCCUGAUGAAGACU